rnacentral:rRNA from 1 species
UACAGAGGGGGCAAGCGUUGUUCGGAAUUACUGGGCGUAAAGGGCGCGUAGGCGGCCUUCUAAGUCGAACGUGAAAUCCCCGGGCUCAACCCGGGAACUGCGUCCGAUACUGGAAGGCUAGAGUGUGGCAGAGGGGGGUGGAAUUCCACGUGUAGCAGUGAAAUGCGUAGAUAUGUGGAGGAACACCGAUGGCGAAGGCAGCCCCCUGGGCUAACACUGACGCUCAUGCACGAAAGCGUGGGGAGCAAACAGG